rnacentral:lncRNA from 1 species
GGGCAGGAUAGUCAAGUAGGAAAGGAAUGUUCGGCUUACGGCUUCUUUCUCUCUUCUAACUCUAAUAUUAUAUUAUGAAUCAAACUAACCCUUGGCUUUCUUCUCCUCGUUUUCAUUGGGUUACGAAAGAGCUAAGAUUCGGCUAGCUUUUAGCUUGGAGUGGAGUAGCAUUAGGAGCAUUUUGAUUUUGAUGUAGAAUUUGAAGCAUAACGAUGAGUCUCAUCCCAUCAAUGCAAGUGUAGCCACAUUUCAACCAACUAAUUUUGUC